AGUUUGAGUGCUCUACAAGGUGUCGCUUGAAUGCUUGCAUUUUUAGACAGAGAUGAGAUCAGCUAAGUUACUGUUAAUAUCAGAAAUAUAAUGCUGUCCUUUGAGAUUUUAACAUAAGACUGUGAGUGUAAUGGAUCUAAAACUGUUUAAAUCUUCAGAGCCCUCUACAGCCUGGUAACAUGGAAACUUUAAAAACAGCAGCAGAAGGUUUCAGUAGUGUACUGUAAUUUGUUCUUUUCAUUUAAUAAUAGAGUCCAUAUUAUAUCCUAAGUAGUGAUGUGUCGGUCGCGAACGAAACAGCUUUUAGAGCCGGAUCUUUGAUGUGACCGACGUCAGCCAGCUCCUUAUCGCGAGCCGUGGUUUUUUUUUUUCUUUCUCUCACCCUCUCUGUCGCUCUUUUUUCCCGCUUCACUCCGCACGCGAGCCUUGUGCUUUGCGCUCGGCAGAGGGGGGAGGGGCGGUAGUUACACUCGCAGUAGCAGAGGAACAAGGCGGGAGGGAAAGAGAGAGCCAGGGACAACAGCGUCACAUUAGAAAGCUGUCCUCUGUCAGAUGUUCUGUUGACCCACUGAGAGAGGCAUCAUUUCAGAAACAUCAGACAGACUGAAGCUCAUGGUCAAGGAGGACCUAAUGAUCUUCACCAGCAGCUCCCUCACAGGAAAUCUUCAGCAGCUCCUGUAAUCACAAAGAGAACAGAACCAUCACAAACUCAAAUAUACAUUUUAUCCCUCAAAAUUGAAAUAAAGCUGAUCCUUCUCUGUCCUCACACACUCAGGAUCUGAAGCUCUUCUCUUACAUUUUUUCAGUUCUACAGUUUAAUCCAUAGUUACUGAUUAAUUAGGAGUUACUGAAGUACAAGCUUUUUUUUUCUUUUUUUAAAAAUGGCGUUACUGUCUUUAUAGAUGUGGUAAGAGACUGAAAAAAUGCUGCUGUUUGCACAUAUACAUGCACAUAAUCAGCUCUGUACAGGAGCUGAAGCAGAGUACAGCCUGUUGCUUUUACAGUAUAAUACUUGUACUAAAGUUACAGUAAUGGUAAUUAGCUAGUGACUGAGCAGCCCGGGGCAUUUCUCUUGAUUUCUUUAGUCAGGGUAAAUCCAUUCACCUGCACGGAUUAGCUAAACGAACUUUACAAAACAAGUUUCCCUGACAGCCGAGUGCUCAUCUUAGCUAGCUAGGUCUCAGGACCCAGCUAAGGAUGUCAGUUAUGGAUUAGCUUACCUAUUCUUAUAUUUUGCUUGUUCUUAUGUUAUUGUAUUUUUGCACACC
ensembl:lncRNA